rnacentral:rRNA from 1 species
AGUGACCGAUAGCGUAUAGUACCGUGAGGGAAAGGUGAAAAGAACCCCGGGAGGGGAGUGAAAUAGAACCUGAAACCCUGCACUUACAAGCUGUGGAAGCACAUUUCUUGUGUGACCGCGUACUUUUUGUAGAACGGGCCAACGAGUUACGUUAAGUAGCAAGGUUAAGCACUUAAGGUGCGGAGCCGUAGCGAAAGCGAGUUUUAACUGAGCGUUCAGUUACUUGACGUAGACCCGAAACCGGGCGACCUACCCAUGAGCAGGAUGAAGCGAAAGUAAAAUUUCGUGGAGGUCCGAACCCACGAGCGUUGAAAAGCUCGGGGAUGACUUGUGGGUAGCGGUGAAAUUCCAAUCGAGCCCGGAGAUAGCUGGUUCUCCCCGAAAUAGCUUUAGGGCUAGCCUCAAGGUGAGAGAUACGGAGGUAGAGCACUGAAUGUCCUAGGGGGUAUUGCACCUACCGAAGACUAUUAAACUCCGAAUGCCGUCAUCUUAUACUUGGGAGUCAGACUGUGGGUGAUAAGAUUCAUAGUCGAAAGGGCAACAGCCCAGAUCGUCAGCUAAGGUCCCUAAAU